GGAGGGUCCAAGCGUUAUCCGGAAUCAUUGGGUUUAAAGGGUCCGUAGGCGGGCAAUUAAGUCAGAGGUGAAAUCCCACAGCUCAACUGUGGAACUGCCUUUGAUACUGGUUGUCUUGAGUUAUAGUGAAGUAGAUAGAAUAUGUAGUGUAGCGGUGAAAUGCAUAGAUAUUACAUAGAAUACCGAUUGCGAAGGCAGUCUACUAACUGUAUACUGACGCUAAUGGACGAAAGCGUGGGGGGGAGCGAACAGGAUUAGAUACCCUGGUAGUCCACGCCGUAAACGAUGGUCACUAGUUGUUGGGGCUUUAUGCCUCAGUGAUUAAGAGAAAUUGAUAAGUGACCCCACCUGGGAGUACGAUCGCAAGAUUG
rnacentral:rRNA from 1 species